rnacentral:rRNA from 1 species
AACGAACGCUGGCGGCAGGCCUAACACAUGCAAGUCGAGCGCGCCUUCGGGUGAGCGGCGGACGGGUGAGUAACACGUGGGAAUAUGCCUUUCGGUGCGGAAUAGUCUUGGGAAACUGAGGGUAAUACCGCAUACGCCCCUUGGGGGAAAGAUUUAUCGCCGAAAGAUUAGCCCGCGUUGGAUUAGGUAGUUGGUGGGGUAAUGGCCUACCAAGCCGACGAUCCAUAGCUGGUUUGAGAGGAUGAUCAGCCACACUGGGACUGAGACACGGCCCAGACUCCUACGGGAGGCAGCAGUGGGGAAUCUUAGACAAUGGGGGCAACCCUGAUCUAGCCAUGCCGCGUGAGUGAUGAAGGCCUUAGGGUUGUAAAGCUCUUUCAGCUGGGAAGAUAAUGACGUACCAGCAGAAGAGCC